GAUGAACGCUGGCGGCGUGCUUAACACAUGCAAGUCGAACGGUGAAGCAGGAGCUUGCUCUUGUGGAUCAGUGGCGAACGGGUGAGUAACACGUGAGCAACCUGCCCCUGACUCUGGGAUAAGCGCUGGAAACGGCGUCUAAUACUGGAUAUGUGAUGUGACCGCAUGGUCUGCAUCUGGAAAGAAUUUCGGUUGGGGAUGGGCUCGCGGCCUAUCAGCUUGUUGGUGAGGUAAUGGCUCACCAAGGCGUCGACGGGUAGCCGGCCUGAGAGGGGGACGGGCCACACUGGGACUGGGACACGGCCCAGACUCCUACGGGAGGCAGCAGUGGGGAAUAUUGCACAAUGGGCGGAAGCCUGAUGCAGCAACGCCGCGUGAGGGAUGACGGCCUUCGGGUUGUAAACCUCUUUUAGCAGGGAAGAAGCGAAAGUGACGGUACCUGCAGAAAAAGCACCGGCUAACUAGGUGCCAGCAGCAGCCGCGG
rnacentral:rRNA from 1 species